UGGAAAAUGUUUACAAGAGAAAAUUGUACACAUAAUUUCUCUAACCUUUCUCUCUUUCAUUUAUGAUAGCGAUUUAAAAAGACUAAUAAUGACUCCCUAUUUAUAAGACAAAUUAUGGCAAAACCCAAAUUUACAAGGACUCAAAUUUCAAAGAUUAAAUUUAUGAGGGCUCAAAUUCCUAAAUUGCCCUUAAUGAAAUUUUGGUCAAUUCAUGUAAAUGCUCCGCAAAUCGACAAUAAUAAGCUCCACAACUUAACAUGUGCUUGACCUGAGAUUUGUGAAUGAAUAUUAUGAAGCUUCGGAGAAUAAUUAUAACGUCACUUUUGUUUUUAUAAUUUUUGUUGAAGUUAGAAAUUCAUGGCAACGUAUCGCGAGCUUAAUUUCUUUAUUCUCAUUCUCUCUAAUAUUCCAGGACAUUGAUGGCUUUUAAGCAAAUGAAGUGGAAUUUGAUAUGUUAAAGAGUUUUUAGUGAUUAUUGCGAAUGUAACUCUGUUUCUGCCAUGUUGGGCUUUGCAAUUAGAACUGGUCUGGUUUCAUCAUGAGAAUGAUCUAGACAAAUUUACACUGUACAUUUUUAUCCUGUGGUACUAGGAAGAACAAACAACAAGGUCAUUUGCUAUAAUGAUAA
rnacentral:lncRNA from 1 species